rnacentral:rRNA from 1 species
AACGAACGCUGGCGGCGCGCCUAAUACAUGCAAGUCGAGCGAGAAGACGUAGCAAUACGUUUGUAAAGCGGCGAACGGGUGAGGAAUACAUGGGUAACCUACCCUCGAGUGGGGAAUAACUAGCCGAAAGGUUAGCUAAUACCGCGUACGCUCCUUGGACUUCGGUUCAGGGAGGAAAGCGAUACCGUGGGUAUCGCGCUCUUGGAUGGGCUCAUGUCCUAUCAGCUUGUUGGUGAGGAACGGCUCACCAAGGCUUCGACGGGUAGCUGGUCUGAGAGGACGAUCAGCCACACUGGCACUGCGACACGGGCCAGACUCCUACGGGAGGCAGCAGUAAGGAAUAUUGCGCAAUGGGCGAAAGCCUGACGCAGCGACGCCGCGUGGGGGAUGAAGGUCUUCGGAUUGUAAACCCCUUUCGGGAGGGAGAGAGCUCAGGGCCGAAUAAGCUUUGAGUCCGACGGUACCUUGCGUAAGCCAC